rnacentral:lncRNA from 1 species
CGCGCCAGGAGGGUCACGUCGGGGUCCUCGCCGCCGGCGCCGCCGUGGGCCGCCGGCUUGACGCUGUGCACGGCCACCGAGUCGUCGCGCACGUCGAGGGUGAUCUCGACGUAGUCGUCGUCGUCGGUGGCGGAAGGGGAGGCGCGGGGUGGGGGUGCGGAGAGCGGCGCGGAGACGGACUCGGCGAAGCGCGCGCUCUUGCGCGCCCCUGUCUUCUUGCUCAGCGGGCCGCUGUGCGGGAUCACCCGCUCCCGGUCCCGGCCCUCGUGCGGGGCCGCCGCGGCGGACGACAUCUCCACGAUGUCCCCGCCGGCGCCGGCGUCGGCGCCCGGCCUGUGGCUAUGCAUGGUGGCCGCCGGCCGGCCGGCUCUCUAGCUCCUUGUCCGAGGAACACGCGCGCGGCAGGUCGGUAACCGGAGAAGCGAAACGCUUUUUCGCACGGAGCGGAGGAGGAGGGGGUGCGGGUGACGCGCGGCGGCUUCUUUAGUCGUGUCGGGGAGGAGGAAGAGGGAGGGAGGUGGCAGGUGAGGAACGGUGGCGUUUGGGGAGCAGGGGAAGGGAGGAGCGGAGGCUUU